CCUACGGGAGGCAGCAGUGGGGAAUCUUGCACAAUGUGGGAAACCCUGAUGCAGCGACGCCGCGUGAGUGAAGACGUAUUUCGGUACGUAAAACUCUAUCAGCCGGGCAGAAAAUGACGGUCCCUGACUAACAAUCCCCUACUAACUACGUUCCAGCAGCCGCGGUAAUACGUAGGGGGCACGCUUUAUCCGGAUUUACUGGGUGUAAAGGGAGCGUAGACGGCAGCGCAAGUCUGGAGUGAAAUCCCAUGGAUGAACCAUGGAACUGCCUUGGAAACUGUGCAGCUAGAGUGCCGGAGAGGUAAGCGGAAUGCGUAGUGUAGCGGUGAAAUGCGUAGAUAUUAGGAGGAACACCAGUGGCGAAGGCGGCUUACUGGAAUGUAACUGACGUUGAGGCUCGAAAGCGUGGGGAGCAAACAGGAUUAGAUACCCGAGUAGUC
rnacentral:rRNA from 1 species